rnacentral:rRNA from 1 species
AUUGAACGCUGGCGGCAGGCCUAACACAUGCAAGUCGAACGAGUGGCGGACGGGUGAGGAAUGUCUGGGAAACUGCCUGAUGGAGGGGGAUAACUCAUGGAAACGGUAGCUAAUACCGCAUACCAUCAGAUGUGCCCAGAUGGGAUUAGCUUGUUGGUGGGGUAACGGCUAACCAAGGCGACGAUCCCUACCUGGUCUGAGAGGAUGACGAGCCAAACUGGAACUGAGGCACGGUCCAGACUCCAACUGGUGACAGCAGUGGGAAAUAUUGCACAAUGGGCGCAAGCCUAAUGCAGCCAUGCCGCGUGUAUGAAGAAGACCUUAGGGUUAUAAAGUACUUUCGGCGGAGAAGCGUUACCCGCAGAAUAAGCACCGGCUAACUCCGUGCCAGCAGCCGCGGUAAUAC